GCUGAAUUGAAUAAUACCUUUCAUUAAGAUUCAGUUCCCUCUCCCUCUCCCUCUCCCUCCCCCUCCCCCUCUCCCUCUCCCUCUCCCUCUCCCCACGGUCUCCCUCUCCCUCUCUUUCCACGGUCUCCCUCUCAUGCUGAGCCAAAGCUGUACUGUACUGCUGCCAUCUCGGCUCACUGCAACCUCCCUGCCUGAUUCUCCUGACUCAGCCUGCCCAGUGCCUGCGAUUGCAGGCUCACGCCGCCACGCCUGACUGGUUUUGGUGGAGACGGGGAUUCGCUGUGUUGGCCGGGCCGGUCUCCAGCCCCUAACCGCAAGUGAUCCGCCAGCCUCGGCCUCCCGAGGUGCCGGGAUUGCAGACGGAGUCUCCUUCACUCAGUGCUCAAUGGUGCCCAGGCUGGAGUGCAGUGGCGUGAUCUCGGCUCGCUACAACCUGCACCUCCCAGCCGCCUGCCUUGGCCUCCCAAAGUGCCGAGAUUGCAGCCUCUGCCCGGCCGCCACCCCGUCUGGGAAGUGAGGAGCGUCUCUGCCUGGCCGCCCAUCGUCUGGGUUGUGAGGAGCCCCUCUGCCCGGCCGCCCAGUCUGGGAAGUGAGGAGCCCCUCUGCCCGGCCGCCAUCACGUCUGGGAAGUAAGGAGCAUCUCAGCCCGGCUGCCCAUCGUCUGGGAUGUGAGGAGCGCCUCUGCCAGGCCGCCCAGUCUGGAAAGUGAGGAGCGUCUCCGCCUGGCCGCCAUCCCACCUAGGAAGUGAGGAGCACCUCUUCCCGGCCGCCAUCCCAUCUAGGAAGUGAGGAGCGUCUCUGCCCGGUCGCCCAUCGUCUGAGAUGUGGGGAGCGCCUCUGCCCCGCCGCCCCGUCUGGGAUGUGAGGAGCACCUCUGCCCGGCCGCCCCGUCUGAGAAGUGAGGAGCCCCUCCGCCCGGCAGCCGCCCCAUCUGGGAAGUGAGGAGCGUCUGCGCCCGGCAGCCAGCCGUCCGGGAGGGAGGUUGGGGGGUCAGCCCCCCGCCCGGCCAGCCGCCCCGUCCGGGAGGUGAGGGGCGCCUCUGCCCGGCCGCCCCUACUGGGAAGUGAGGAGCCCCUCUGCCCGGCCACCACCCCGUCUGGGAGGUGUACCCAACAGCUCAUUGAGAACGGGCCAGGAUGACAAUGGCGGCUUUGUGGAAUAGAAAGGGGGGAAAGGUGGGGAAAAGAUUGAGAAAUCGGAUGGUUGCCGUGUCUGUGUAGAAAGAAGUAGACAUGGGAGACUUUUCAUUUUGUUCUGUACUAAGAAAACUUCUUCUGCCUUGGGAUCCUGUUGAUCUGUGACCUUACCCCCAACCCUGUGCUCUCUGAAACAUGUGCUGUGUCCACUCAGGGUUAAAUGGAUUAAGGGCGGUGCAAGAUGUGCUUUGUUAAACAGAUGCUUGAAAGCAGCAUGCUCGUUAAGAGUCAUCACCACUCCCUAAUCUCAAGUACCCAGGGACACAAACACUGCGGAAGGCCGCAGGGUCCUCUGCCUAGGAAAACCAGAGACCUUUGUUCACUUGUUUAUCUGCUGACCUUCCCUCCACUAUUGUCCUAUGACCCUGCCAAAUCCCCCUCUGUGAG
rnacentral:lncRNA from 1 species